rnacentral:rRNA from 1 species
AUUGAACGCUGGCGGCAGGCCUAACACAUGCAAGUCGAGCGGAUGACGGGAGCUUGCUCCUGGAUUCAGCGGCGGACGGGUGAGUAAUGCCUAGGAAUCUGCCUGGUAGUGGGGGACAACGUUUCGAAAGGAACGCUAAUACCGCAUACGUCGUACGGGAGAAAGCAGGGGACGUUCGGGCCUUGCGCUAUCAGAUGGGCCUAGGUCGGAUUAGCUAGUUGGUGAGGUAAUGGCUCACCAAGGCGACGAUCCGUAACUGGUCUGAGAGGAUGAUCAGUCACACUGGAACUGAGACACGGUCCAGACUCCUACGGGAGGCAGCAGUGAGGAAUAUUGGACAAUGGGCUAAAGCCUGAUCCAGCCAUGCCGCGUGUGUGAAGAAGGUCUUCGGAUUGUAAAGCACUUUAAGUUGGGAGGAAGGGUUGUAGAUUAAUACUCUGCAAUUUUGACGUUACCGACAGAAUAAGCACCGGCUAACUCUGUGCCAGCCGCCGCGGUAAGAC